ACACAUCACACAUGGGUAUCUGUUGAGGACAACGUUAAAGCAUAAUGGCUUAGCUUUAAGCUAAGGACACGAAACGAUUUUUAGAGAUAGGAAUUUCUUACAUAAUUUGCUUACAACACUGACGGAUUUUAUGUAGCUGCAUGCAACCUUUGUAACGGAAUGUUUUUGUGAGUCAUCCAAACCUUUGUGCUUUUGUGUUUGCGGAAUGUUUUGUUAGUCAUUCGAACCUUUGUGCAUUAUGGCGCGCCAAGAUGGACAAUAAUCGAU